rnacentral:rRNA from 1 species
GGGUGGUAAUGCCGGAUGCUCCAGUUGGACGCAUGUUCUUCCGGGAAAGAUUCAUCGGUAUGGGAUGGGGUCGCGUCCUAUCAGCUUGAUGGCGGGGUAACGGCCCACCAUGGCUUCGACGGGUAGCCGGCCUGAGAGGGCGACCGGCCACAUUGGGACUGAGAUACGGCCCAGACUCCUACGGGAGGCAGCAGUGGGGAAUAUUGCACAAUGGGCGCAAGCCUGAUGCAGCGACGCCGCGUGCGGGAUGACGGCCUUCGGGUUGUAAACCGCUUUUGACUGGGAGCAAGCCCUUCGGGGUGAGUGUACCUUUCGAAUAAGCACCGGCUAACUACGUGCCAGCAGCCGCGGUAAUACGUAGGGUGCAAGCGUUAUCCGGAAUUAUUGGGCGUAAAGGGCUCGUAGGCGGUUCGUCGCGUCCGGUGUGAAAGUCCAUCGCUUAACGGUGGAUCCGCGCCGGGUACGGGCGGGCUUGAGUGCGGUAGGGGAGACUGGAAUUCCCGGUGUAACGGUGGAAUGUGUAGAUAUCGGGAA